rnacentral:rRNA from 1 species
AGUGAACGCUGGCGGUAGGCCUAACACAUGCAAGUCGAACGGCAGCACAGUAAGAGCUUGCUCUUACGGGUGGCGAGUGGCGGACGGGUGAGGAAUACAUCGGAAUCUACUUUUUCGUGGGGGAUAACGUAGGGAAACUUACGCUAAUACCGCAUACGACCUACGGGUGAAAGCAGGGGAUCUUCGGACCUUGCGCGAUUGAAUGAGCCGAUGUCGGAUUAGCUAGUUGGCGGGGUAAAGGCCCACCAAGGCGACGAUCCGUAGCUGGUCUGAGAGGAUGAUCAGCCACACUGGAACUGAGACACGGUCCAGACUCCUACGGGAGGCAGCAGUGGGGAAUGUUGGACAAUGGGCGCAAGCCUGAUCCAGCCAUACCGCGUGGGUGAAGAAGGCCUUCGGGUUGUAAAGCCCUUUUGUUGGGAAAGAAAAGCAGCAGGUUAAUACCCCGCUGCUCUGACGGUACCCAAAGAAUAAGCACCGGCUAACUUCGUG